rfam:Rattus norvegicus chromosome 6, whole genome shotgun sequence.
GGGGAUUUAGCUCAGUGGUAGAGCGCUUGCCUAGCAAGCGCAAGGGCCUGGGUUCGGUCCCCAGCUCUG